UUUUCCUUUGAUGUGAUUUUUGGAAUCGAUUGGUUAACUACUCAUCAUGCUUUUCGUAAGGUUGUUAGCUUUCAUAUUCCUAAUCAACCUGUUAUGCGAAUUCAAGCAACCAAACCACUAAAGUCAAUCACUGUUAUAUCAAGCCGUAAGUAAAAAGCCCCGAUCCUUUCGUUGUUGACUUCCUUGUAUGGAAUGCACUAAAGCCAGACUAUCCGUAGG
rnacentral:lncRNA from 1 species